ACAAUUCUCCCAUAGCCUACCCAGGCGAUCAGUUUCUCAGUAUUGAGGAUAAGAAAACUCAGACUGUCAGGAGCUUUUACAGAAAGAGCCAGAGACGAAGGAAGGCAAGGAACAGAUUGGAAGCUGCUGGUAUGUUUUUCUGUCAUCUGUUGACUAGGACGAGGGGCUCUGCUCCCAGCGGCACAGUGAUAAGGUCAGCCCCAACUCUUCUCUGUGUGCUUGGCAACAGCCAGUCAAGCCAGAGAGCAAUCUGCCAAAUCUAAUUAGAGUAGAAGAAAGCGAACAAUGGGUGCCCGGCUCUGAGCUGACAGCCCCGGUUAAGGAUGGGAGGACCUCAGGGGGAUGUGGUUCGUGUGCUUGGGGACAGUCCUUCAGCUCAAACCUUGCCUUCACUCAGAGUGUAAAACGUCUCUCCCUGGAUUCUUAUCUACUGCACCGCAAAUCUUCAGGUCUCUUCGCUUUUUAAAAUUCACGCACAUCCAACAAAGGCCUGAGAGAGCUCCGGUUUGUUCCGCAGGUGAGGUUGAAACAGAAGAAGGUUACGUCAUGUGUAACCUUGGACGUGGCGCUGUGUGUCUGCUGAUCACCAAGGGGCUUUGUGUGUGCUGUUGACCAUAGGGGUGUGUGCAUGCUCUUAUUGCUGUUAAUGUUAUGAGUGGGCUCUCACUUCUUCUCUUGUAUUAAGUUAUACCAGUGACACUAGCAUUUCUCUAUCUUUGAAAUCCUCUUUAUACAAGGCUUAUGGGUUUCAUUACUGAAAUUUCACAAGCGUCUUAAGUUUUAUUGGGGUCGUAAAUAAACACGCUGUAAGAUGCAAAACUAUUUACGUUUUUGAUUUGUACUUUUUUUUUGGUUUUUGGUUUGUUGUUUUUUUGAGGUUUUUGAGACAGGGUUUCUCUGUGUAGCCCUGGCUGUCCUGGAACUCACUCUAUAGAUCAGGCUGGCCUCGAACUCAGAAAUCUGCCUGCCCCUGGCGUGUGCCACCACGCCCGGCUGAUUUGUACUUUAAAUGGCCUCUCUGAUCUGGGUGAUUGGUCUCUCACAUCAAAAAUUUGACUUC
rnacentral:lncRNA from 1 species